GUGUCAGCAGCCGCGGUAAUACGUAGGGUGCGAGCGUUGUCCGGAAUUAUUGGGCGUAAAGAGCUCGUAGGCGGUGUGUCACGUCGGCCGUGAAAACCUGGGGCUUAACUCUGGGCGUGCGGUCGAUACGGGCAUCACUAGAGUUCGGCAGGGGAGACUGGAAUUCCUGGUGUAGCGGUGAAAUGCGCAGAUAUCAGGAGGAACACCGGUGGCGAAGGCGGGUCUCUGGGCCGAUACUGACGCUGAGGAGCGAAAGCAUGGGUAGCGAACAGGAUUAGAUACCCGCGUAGUCC
rnacentral:rRNA from 1 species